GCAGCUCACGCCCCUCGGCCUACGGGAGGGAGGGCAAGGAGGGUUCUACGGUUCCUGGGAGGACGAGAAGAGCCAAGAGCCCCGACGGCCGGCGCCGGGGAAAAGGCCCCGAGGCGGGGUCCGCAUCCCUGGAAGGGCGGCGUCCACCCUCCUGAGAGGCACGGGGCGCCCAGGGCUCGGAGGCUCAAAGCCCGCCGGCUCCUGCAGCUUCUGGGAGCCGAAGAGUGUCAGCCGGGAGGAUCCCGCACACGGCGCUUAGUUCUGGAACUGCAUACCCAGGGGAGGAUGCGGGAGCCCGAAGCCCGGGCUGACACUGAAAGUGGAUGACAUCUUAGCGCAUUUCCUAAGGGUCCCGCUUGGUUUGGCUUUACUCUGUUACUCGGGAGGCUGAGGCAGGAGAAUCGCUUGAACCGGAGAGGCGGACGUUGCAGUGAGCCGAGGUCAAACCAGUGCACUCCAGCCUGGGCAACAGAGCGAGACUCCAUCUGAAAAAGAAACAAAAAGAAAAAAAAA
ensembl:lncRNA novel transcript